UGAGACUGUUAUGCUGAUAGUUUUACUUUCAGUAGAAACUUCUAUGAUUUAAGACAGUUAUACUAAUAGUUUUGUUUUCAGCUAGGAAUGGAGACUGUGUUACUUACAAGUAAUUAUACCAAAUAAAACACUGCCACCAUUUCCUCACUCAGUUAUAGAUGAUUUGCAUGUUAAUUCAGUUAUAUCAGCCCGUAAAGAAUAACCUUCAAUAUUUCAUCUGAUAAUUAGAUUUCCUUGGUACGGUACAUUGUCAUGUUAAUACUGAAAGGGGAAGAUGAUGUUAGUUUACCUGAGGAAUUAUCAGGGGGAAUAUUUAUUGUCGUAUAAUAAUAACAAAAUUAUUCAGGGAAACAAUACCAUUCUCAAGAGACGGAC
rnacentral:lncRNA from 1 species